UCUCCGUUGGUGAACCAGCGGAGGGAUCAUUACUGGAAUCGCAAGAUCCCACAACCCCUGUGAACCUACCGAAACGUUGCCUCGGCGGGCGCCCGGCCCUGCCCCCGGCGCGUGGCCCGCCGGCGGCCCCCUACUCCCUUCUCUUCUGCCUGGCUUCUCAGAGUCCCAAAAAACAAGUAAAAACUUUCAACAACGGAUCUCUUGGCUCUA
rnacentral:misc_RNA from 1 species